UUAGAAGGAAUGGUUGCAGCACUGCGAACAAAGUUCGCAUACGACCAAAAAAAGCUAACACAGGGAAGAGAAAGAACAUUGAGAGCUGAGUACAAGUUUAGUGGCGGACGGGUGAGUAACGCGUGGCAACCUACCCAUAAGAGGGGGAUAACAGCUGGAAACGGCUGCUAAUACCGCAUAAGCUUUUUGAGACACAUGUUUUAGAAAGUAAAGGAGGCGUAAGCUUCCGCUUAUGGAUGGGCCCGCGUCUGAUUAGCUAGUUGGUAGGGUAGCGGCCUACCAAGGCAACGAUCAGUAGCCGGCCUGAGAGGGUGGACGGCCACACUGGGACUGAGAACGGCCCAGACUCCUACGGGAGGCAGCAGUGGGGAAUAUUGCGCAAUGGGGGAAACCCUGACGCAGCGACGCCGCGUGAGCGAAGAAGGCCUUCGGGUUGUAAAGCUCUGUUGUAAGGGACGAAAGAUCAAGGGAAUAACUGCCCUUGAAGUGACGGUACCUUACCAGCAAGCCCCGGCUAACUACGUG
rnacentral:rRNA from 1 species